rnacentral:tRNA from 1 species
GCGGAUGUAGCUCAAUGGCAGAGCACCUGACUGUGGCUCAGGUGGUUGUGGGUUCGAGACCCAUCAUCCGCC